ACGAACGCUGGCGGCGUGCCUAAUACAUGCAAGUAGAACGCUGAAGGAGGAGCUUGCUUCUCUGGAUGAGUUGCGAACGGGUGAGUAACGCGUAGGUAACCUGCCUGGUAGCGGGGGAUAACUAUUGGAAACGAUAGCUAAUACCGCAUAAGAGUAGAUGUCGCAUGACAUUUGCUUAAAAGGUGCAAUUGCAUCACUACCAGAUGGACCUGCGUUGUAUUAGCUAGUUGGUGAGGUAACGGCUCACCAAGGCAACGAUACAUAGCCGACCUGAGAGGGUGAUCGGCCACACUGGGACUGAGACACGGCCCAGACUCCUACGGGAGGCAGCAGUAGGGAAUCUUCGGCAAUGGACGGAAGUCUGACCGAGCAACGCCGCGUGAGUGAAGAAGGUUGUCGGAUCGUAAAGCUCGGUUGUAAGAGAAGAACAAGUGUGAGAGUGGAAAGUUCACACUGUGACGGUAUCUUACCAGAAAGGGACGGCUAACUACGUG
rnacentral:rRNA from 1 species